UCGAGAAUAUUCGACAAUGGGCGAAAGCCUGAUCGAGCGACGCCGCGUGCAGGAUGAAGGCCCUCGGGUUGUAAACUGCGGUAGUAGGGGAGGAACGCAAGUGACUGUACCCUACGGAAAGUGGUUGGUAACUACGUGCCAGCACCAGCGGUAAUACGUAGACCACAAGCGUUAUCCGGAUUUAUUGGGCGUAAAGAGCAUGUAGGAGGUCCGGUGCGUCUCUGGUUAAAGCCCACCGCCUAACGGUGGAAGUGCCAGAGAUACGAUCGGACUGGAGGAUGUGAGAGGUGCAUGGAACUCACGGUGUAGGGGUGAAAUCCGUUGAUAUCGUGGGGAACACCAAAGGCGAAGGCAGUGCACUGGUACACUCCUGACUCUGAGAUGCGAAAGCGUGGGGAGCAAAAAGGAUUAGAUACCCAAGUAGUCCCUGAGCGGGCUGGCAAGGCGCAU
rnacentral:rRNA from 1 species